GAGUUUGAUCCUGGCUCAGGAUGAACGCUAGCGGCAGGCCUAAUACAUGCAAGUCGAGCGGUAACAUUGGUGCUUGCACCAGAUGACGAGUGGCGCACGGGUGCGUAACGCGUAUGCAAUCUACCUUUUACUAGAGUAUAGCCCAGAGAAAUUUGGAUUAAUCCUCUAUAAUAUCUUUUAAUUUCAUGAUUUUAAGAUUAAAGUUUUAACGGUAAAAGAUGAGCAUGCGUCCUAUUAGUUUGUAGGUGAGGUAACGGCUCACCUAGACUACGAUAGGUAGGGGCCCUGAGAGGGGGAUCCCCCACACUGGUACUGAGACACGGACCAGACUCCUACGGGAGGCAGCAGUAAGGAAUAUUGGACAAUGGACGAAAGUCUGAUCCAGCCAUGCCGCGUGCAGGAUGAAAGCCCUACGGGUUGUAAACUGCUUUUAUACAGGAAGAAACACUCCGACGUGUCGGAGCUUGACGGUACUGUAAGAAUAAGGAUCGGCUAACUCCGUGCCAGCAGCCGCGGUAAUACGGAGGAUCCAAGCGUUAUCCGGAAUCAUUGGGUUUAAAGGGUCCGCAGCUGUUUUUUAAGUCAGAGGUGAAAUCCUACAGCUCAACUGUAGAACUGCCUUUGAUACUGAAAAACUUGAGUUAUUGUGAAGUGGUUAGAAUGUGUGGUGUAGCGGUGAAAUGCAUAGAUAUCACACAGAAUACCGAUUGCGAAGGCAGAUCACUAACAAUAUACUGACGCUCAUGGACGAAAGCGUGGGGAGCGAACAGGAUUAGAUACCCUGGUAGUCCACGCCGUAAACGAUGGAUACUAGCUGUUCGUCUAACAUUGGUUAGAUGAGUGGCUAAGCGAAAGUGAUAAGUAUCCCACCUGGGGAGUACGGUCGCAAGACUGAAAACUCAAAGGAAUUGACGGGGGCCCGCACAAGCGGUGGAGCAUGUGGUUUAAUUCGAUGAUACGCGAGGAACCUUACCAGGGCUUAAAUGUAGUGGG
rnacentral:rRNA from 1 species